rnacentral:lncRNA from 1 species
GUUACUUGAACAUCAUCUAUUUUAAGUCUUUUGAGCCCUGAUCUUACAUAGGAAUAAGAAUAAGACAAUAUGGUUACUAGCAAAUUAGCGGGCCUUAGAUAAUUGUUUUUCAUCAUUUUGGAGCAUCAUCUUCAUUGUUUACUGCAAAUCAUCUUCCUUGUUUACUGCAAGAAGAAUGUGAAAAUCAGUGACUUUCAUACUAGAAAAUUUAAUAAAUUUCAAGUACAUUAACUUAACUAUAAGCAUACCAGCAUACCUUCACCAUUUAUGAGCCAUCCGUCUCCCGGAUAUUAUUAAACAAAACAAUCUU